GAGGAUUGAUGAGAUGUAUCAGGUGAAUUUGAUUCUUGAUAACUUGCCUGCUAUUCGUUAUACCAAGAAGGAGAAUUACUUCUUGCGUUGGACGGGGUAUCCUGUUGGGAUUAAGGUGCAAGAUGCAUAUUAUGUGUUUAAUCAUUUAAAGUUUACGGUUCUCGUUCAUAAAUUUGAGGAGACCAAUGUGGCUCGUGUGAUGGGUACCGGGGAUGGAUCAGAGGUGAUUUCGACAGUAGGAAAUGAAGGAUCUGAUGCACCUGGAUAUAUGGUUGUUGGAUUUGAGGUUGUACCUUGUAGUUUCCAGCAUACGCCUGAUUCGUUGAAGAAUCUAAAAAUGUACAAUAAGCUCCCAUCUCCAAUCAAGUGUGACCCGACGACUGUGUCCAUGGCUAUUAAAGAAAAUGAACCUGUGAGUUUUACUUAUGAGGUGAACUUUGUGGAGAGUGACAUCAAGUGGCCGUCGAGAUGGGAUGCUUAUUUGAAGAUGGAA
rnacentral:misc_RNA from 1 species